rnacentral:ncRNA from 2 species
AACUUAUCACGAGAGAUGGAGGGAUAUGGCCCGAUGAAGUCUCAGCAACCGGCAAAAGCACGGUGCUAAAUCCAACAAGCAAACUGUUGCUUGGCAGAUGAGAA